UAUAACGUGCUUGAUAAAAAGAUUAUCUUGAUAGGGUAAAAAAUGGAAGUCAGCCUUCCCGUUAUUG
rnacentral:tRNA from 1 species